rnacentral:lncRNA from 1 species
AAGAAAGUUAUAAAGCUGAAGCCAAUAAUAAAGCAAAUGACCAAGAAACAACUUUUAUAUUAAUCAGGAUUCGUUUUUAAGUUGAAGUGACCAAAAUACAACUCAAACUAACUCAAGCAAAAAAGAAAUAGGUACUGGGGAGAGGGGACAGUAGGGGAACAGGCUCCCACAUACUGAGAUCUGGGAACACAAAGGGAAGUUAUCAGGUCUCUCUCCCUCUCAGCUCUGCUUCUUUCAGUGUGGUGGCCUCAUUCUUUCUAACUGAAGAACGAUCUUUACUGCAGAAAAUUCUAAGCAUUAUUGUGGCAGAUCCAGUAAGUCCCAGAGAAGGAUUCUGAUUGGUCCUGCUUCAGUCACAUGCUUGCAUCUUAGUCCAAUCACUGUGGCCUGGAGGAUGGGACACCAUGAUUUGCAAGACUCUGGUCACAUGCCCACACCUGUGGCUUCUGAAGCAGAGCACCAGCAGUGACAGUCCCACCAGAACCGCAUGGAAUAGAAAACUGUGCAUUUCCCUAAGGAAAGGGAAUGCCAGAGAAGGGCAGAAGGGAAAUCAGGAAGACAAAACGUGUCUUCAUGUUGGAGUGGACCUUUCCUCUAUCUGUCAACAGAAUGGAUAAAUUGUGGAAGAGUAAUAUCAGAAUACUACACAUCAGUAAAAAACAACAAACUUCUGCUACAAACAAUCAACAUCGAUGAAUCUUUCAGGCAAAAGGUUAUAGAAACAGAUGAUCAGUGGCCCACGGAUUCCAGGUGAGGAUCUGGGACCCAGACAUCCAGAUAUUGAAAACACAGGGAUGGAGUCUGUAUGGAAAAAAUUAAAAUAUAGCAAAAUGUGAAAUACGGAAGAGAAAUCUUUCAAUUUCCCAAUGGAAGUGAGAAAAGAGCAAAGAAAAGUAUUGGUCUUCCAAAACAAAUAGAGGACGGAGCUGCUGCUGUUGCAUGGUGUCUAGAAACUCAGACAACUUCAUCAUUCCAUAUUUGCAUCCAAGAGAGAGAAAGAAAAACUACAAUCAUUUUCCAUUUACCCAUCAACCCAUCAACCUCCAAAUAAAGGCUAUUAAAAAACAAUCAAAGUGUGAAGAGGGCAGAAAAUGUGAUGAAGAGAUUCUUUGGAGAAAGUAGCUGCCACUGUUACCUUGGGAUCUGCCUAUAGUCCUCACAGAGCUUGCCCUUGCAGGAUAGAACAUAGGAGUCUGGGAGUCUGCAAGAAGAGACAGGGUCUCACUAUGUUGCCCCAGUUGGCCUUGAACUGCUGGACUCAAGGGAUCCUCCUGCCUCAGCAUCCUGAGUAGCUGGGUCUACAGGCAUGAACCACCAGGCCCAGAACCCUGUCUUUUGAAAGCCAUAUGCGAUCUGUCUGCCCUGAAGUGACUACUUCAUCUCCAACCAGCCCUUGGCUGGCAAAGUCAGGAAGACUCCAGUCUUUCCUGAAGACCAGGGGAGAGUUUAUAACUCUAGCAUCAAAGUCAGCAGCUGUUCAUCUAGAAGACAACUUCCCAAAAGUCAAUGUCUUUGCCUGAAGCUUUUCUUCCCAGAUCUCCUAUGGUGAAACAACCAAAGGGAAGAAGAAUGUGGGCAGCCCUCAGUAAGACAGGAGAUGAGCAUCAACAUUGACCCAUUCUUUCUUCCAGUCCUCGAUGCUUACCUUGUACAUUCUUCUUUGUCUUCCGACUCAGUGCCUUUAGGGUAUGGACGUUGCCUGGUCCCACACAAGCCAAGCAUCAAAUGGAUGGCUCAACAAGGAGGCCAAGACCAGCUAAUGUUUAGUGAGCACCCAAAGGGGCCACACUGGAGAGAACAGCACAGCUCCGUCUGAGAAACAGCUGUUCCUUCCUGCCUGAGAGGCAGAGUGAUAGAAGAUAUCACAGAAUGUUGCUGCUUUGUCUUCCACCCUGAACCCUCCACGACCUCCCUGUAGCUUCCUGAUUUUAAGUAGACAUCAAAUGAUUCUUAAUCCUUUCUGGGUCUUGGAACGAUUUGAAAAUUGUCAACAGUACUGGGAUUCCCAGAAUAAUGCACAUAUGUACAUACUCAGAUAUUCCCCAAGCCCUGGAUAUAAUUUUAAGGGAGUUCACAGACCACACUCCCCCACCCAUCUGUGGACCCAGAUUCUGUGGGUUCGAGAUUCAGAAGCCCUGUUUCUAGGCAGGCCCUCUGUUGCUAACGCCCCUCGAGAACAUCACCCUAGAUGAUUAUCCCUUCUUCCUCCACUCCUUCCCACCUUCUCCAACUGCUGGGUUUCAGCACAAAGAUUGCUUGCCAGUUAAACUGGCACCAUGGACCGCACAGUAGUUGUUUCUUGGGUCUAGAGGAAACAGCCAGAUUCCUUUAAGUAAAUCAUGUCUUAGUUAUUGAUUGUCUCCACUUGAAGUUUUUGACAAUCUCUGAUUAAAUCAUAAACCACUGCAUCCUCCAUCUCCUGCUUCAGUCUCUCAAACCAAAUGUCAGUUUCUUUGUAGCCCUUCAAUUCAAAGUUUGCAAAUUCUGGAUCUAGGCUUCAUUCUUUCACUCAUUUAAGCACUAACAUCUAUUGCAUAACUAUUAAAUGCCAGGCACUGUUCUAGGCAUCAGGGACAUAAUAAUGUACAAAACAGCCUUCAUGUUAAUUUACUUAUUCUCUUCCAAAAUGCUAAUUCUAACCAGUGCUGCUUUAAAAACCAUUAUAAUUAUUACAAUAACUGCCUAAGUUAUAAGCUCUAUUCUAAAUAGUUAAUAUGUAUUAUUAUUUUUCAGAAAACUCUAUGAGGUAGGUAUUAUUAUUAUCAUUCUUAUUUUACAGAAGUGAAAAUCAUAAAGGUUAAGUAAUUUGCCCCAGCUAGAGAGGGACAAAGACAAGAUGUAACAUGAGGCAGUUUGACUAAAUUACUUACUGCUAAAUUCAGCAUCCCUGAUUAUGGUUACAAAGCAAGAUUAGAUUCUUUAGCACUGUUGAAAUGUGAACAGAUGUAUUACAAAAAAAAUUGUCUAGCAAUGUGCAUAUAUUUAAGUAGCCCCGAGGGUUAUCUGUGGUUGCCAAGAGGCUCAAAGUCAGCAUGAAUAUAAUCAGGAGGCACUGAUGACUUUGUUACCCAGAGAUGGUUUGGGGAUCCGUCAGGAGUAUCAUGCACAUGGACAGGAAUGUGAGGCAGAGGAUUACUGGAGUUGAGCUGGCAGUCAAGGGACAAACAAGCCAAAAGUUAUAAAAAACAUAUUUUAAAAUUAUAUAUUUUUAAAUAAUCGUGAUGGACAGAAGAAAUUGUAAUCCUGAGGCAAUAACUGAGAAAGUAUUGAGUAGGUAAUAAAAGGCCUGAGUAGGCUGAAAUAAAUGUUUUAAAAUAGCAGUUUCCUGUAUCCAUGGCUUCUAAAGACCUCCGUUAGUGCGAAUAGUAACUCAAAUGAAAUUUAGAACCAAGAAUAAUUGAGAGGGGUAGCUCACAGGCAGGAGUGAAUUGUGUUUUGCAGGAUUUGAAGAUUAUACAAUUUGGAUGACUCUUCUUUAAAAAAUUACUAAUACCAAAUUAGAUCUAGGGCCUUGGGAAGGGCCUGGAAGCAUAAGCUACAUUACCUUUAUAGCAAACCCAGCUUGGACUCAUGGAGAAGGUUGCUAAGAAACACAUACAUUGCUAGAUCAGGACAGUGGUGAUUCUGAUAAGGCUGAAUGCCCAAUUUGGAGAACUUUGUGAUCCAGAGAACAGUGAUUUGAAGGCACUUUGACAUGAAGAUGCAACACAACAGUGGAUGUGGUUUGAAGGAGGGCUUUGGCAAUCCAAACAACUGAAAGAGACAUCCUGUGUAAAUUUUAAUGAGAUAUCAAUUUUUG